CUCGCUUUAAUUUCCAAUGAAAUAUGAUUAACGUAACAACGUGUAUUCACAGAUCCCUCAUUAGUAAUAAUUUGUUCAGGAAAUUCUGCAAUAGAUGAUGAUCUAUCACUAUUAUUAUUAUGUAUAAGUAUAGCAGGCGACAAUGAUGAAUAUAAUUGUAACAGGAAGUAAUUUAUUUAUAAGAUUGUAAUGUCACACUUUAUAAAUAAUAUUUAUCCAUUGUUAUGAGGAAAAAACUCUCGUUAGGAACUUUUGACAUGCUUGGAUAAUUCAUUUAAUAUGUUUCUUUCAAAAUUAUAACAAAAGAGAAUAUGAAUAUAGGGCGCGUAAUGCGUAUAAUACGUUAUAUAUAUAAAUCCGAAUAGGAGCAUAAAAGUUAGUUUUUCUAUCGUCCGUCGUAUUGACUAGUUCCUUUUAUAGACGCAGUUUUUUAUUUUCUAUCUGCAAAAUGUAUAACUUUUUUUAUAUAUUAAUGAUUAUGUGCUUUAUACAAAAAUGUGUUAAAGCACAGACUAAUACAAUUGUUUUUGAUGGUACUACGACUACUAACACUAUGCCACCAACUAGUACUACAUCUACGGGAUGUAGAUGUGUAGCUGCAGGCACUUGUAAUGUUGGCGGUAAUAAUGGAAUUGAUAUAAGAAUUGUUAACACGGGUAUGACUUGUUCAGGAGGAUUGAUAUAUUGUUGUACAUCAGGAAAUAUAAUUGAUGCUAGUUGUGGAGUAAGAAAAAUAGCUCUUACUAAUCAACCAGAAGGAGUUGCUAGUUAUGGAGAAUAUCCUUGGCAAGCAGCACUUUUAACAUCAAGUAAUUCAUAUAUUGGAUCAGGGGCUCUUAUUAAUGCCAAUCAUGUUCUUACUGUUGCUCAUAAAGUAACUCCUUAUUUGACUGGUGGUCUUAAAGUAAGACUUGGUGAAUGGAAUGGACAAAGUUCUUCAGAAACUUAUCCUUAUAAAGAGUACAAUGCACAAAAAAUAUUUGUACAUCCUUCUUAUAAUUCACUAAAUCUUCAGAAUGACGUAGCAGUUAUUAGAUUAAGCUCAUCUGUACCUAUUGCAAGUAGUCCAAAUAUUAAUACUAUAUGUCUUCCUACUUCAGUACCAGCUGCACAAACAAGAUGUUGGGUAUCAGGUUGGGGAAAGAACGCAUUUGGUAAUAGUGGUACUUAUCAGAGUACACUCAAAGAAGUUGAUGUUCCUAUAGUAAAUCAAAGUAAUUGUGAAACUGCUCUUCGUACUACAAAAGUAGGACAAUCCUUCACGCUUGACAAAACUAGUUUUAUAUGUGCAGGAGGAGAAUCAGGGAAAGAUGCGUGCACGGGAGAUGGAGGUGCACCUUUGGUAUGUGAGUCAGGUAGUCAAUGGCAAAUUAUUGGAAUGGUAACAUGGGGUAUUGGUUGCGCAACUGGUGGAAUUCCAGGUGUAUACGUCAAUGUGAUUAAUUAUAAUUCCUGGAUAAAUGAGAAAUUAACUCAGUCAUAAAUUACAAUUCAUAAAUCUGGAUGUAUAAUUCAUGAAGUUAGUUGAUUAAACAAUAUUAAUAAACUUUAAUACAUUUCAUUGUUGAUUUUAGAAUUAAAUUAUCGACUUGAAAGAUUAUCGACAUCACGUCAUAUGACUAAAAAAACAACAAAGUUCCUUUAAUUACUAUUAGAUGGCGUAUAACUUGAUGUCCACAAUGUGCUGCCAUCUUUCUAUCUCGAUGAUACUAAAUGGUUAAAAAAAAGUGAAUUAAAACGAUCAUAUGUUUCCUGUCAAUUUUUAUAAACGACCAUAUGUUUUCUGUCAAUUACGUAUGAACUAUCAUGCGUUUUCUGUCAAUCGUUUUUAAAUGAUUAUAUGUCUUCUGUCAAUUAUUUAUAUCACUAUGGAAAUAAAAGUAACGCAAUAUUUAAAACAAAAAUCGUAUAGAAACUAAAUGGAAUAAAGUGUGAAAUAAAAAGAAAAAAAAAAAAAAAAAAAGGCAAAAGAAGAAAGAAAUUUGCAUUAAGAAUUAUCCAGGAAAUAUUAAAUUACGAAUGAUAAUAUCGAGAAUAAAAUAAAAUAAAAACUAUCCAACUAACAUUUUAUAUUCGUUGAAAAAGAAAUGAAUUCUCG